rnacentral:rRNA from 1 species
GACGAACGCUGGCGGCGUGCUUAACACAUGCAAGUCGAACGGAAAGGCCCUUCGGGGUACUCGAGUGGCGAACGGGUGAGUAACACGUGGGUGAUCUGCCCUGCACUUUGGGAUAAGCCUGGGAAACUGGGUCUAAUACCGAAUACACCUCGCUGGUUGCAUGACCUGGUGGGGGAAAGCUUUUGCGGUGUGGGAUGGGCCCGCGGCCUAUCAGCUUGUUGGUGAGGUUACGGCUCACCAAGGCGACGACGGGUAGCCGGCCUGAGAGGGUGUCCGGCCACACUGGGACUGAGAUACGGCCCAGACUCCUACGGGAGGCAGCAGUGGGGAAUAUUGCACAAUGGGCGCAAGCCUGAUGCAGCGACGCCGCGUGAGGGAUGACGGCCUUCGGGUUGUAAACCUCUUUCGCCAGGGACGAAGCGCAAGUGACGGUACCUGGAGAAGAAGCACCGGCCAACUACGUGCCAGCAGCCGCGGUAAAAC